CAAACGGUUCCACCUUGCUGGCCGCCUCCUGGGGCCGAGGACCGGCAGCGUCAUUAGCAUCUUUUUUCCUCCUGAGUCCUAGGGAGAAAAUCACAUCCUCAAUACAGCUGGCAUCUGUGGCUGGGGCUUUAAAAUGAAGAUAUACAGCUGGUGGGCUCUGGUCCUUCCUCAAGGUAACCUCUGCUGGCUCAUUAUGUGCUUAAUAAGAUCUCCAGCCGAGGCAGUGAAAAAUGGCCUUGGAGGAGAUGCCAGCCGGGCCGGGCCAGGCAGGAGGAGGGAGAAGGAGGAAGGCUUCAGACUCAGUUGUGUGGACACCGUGCUGGCUCUCGUCUUGCAAGGCCACACCGCACAGGAGACCCGGAGGCCACCUCUUGUGUCACCUGUCAGCAGAGCAGCGCUGACUACGGGAGGCAGCCCUGGGCCAGCAGCAGCCCCACAGCCUGGAAGAAGGUCAUCUUAUUUUAGAACCGGAAAGGGUGUAGACAUCGCCAAGUUCAAGGCCCUCAUUUAGAAGCAGGACAUUCGAGGCCUGGCUGCCUGAGACCUCACCCUGGGCACUGAGUGACUCACCCAGCUGGCACUUAGAUGUGCGCUAAGUGACCCCGGCGGUGACGGUCACUUCCUGCCCGAGCUGCAUCCUGCUCACUGAUGGGCCCCUGUAUCCACAGCUGGGAGCAUUUCCGGGUGGGGCCUCUUUGGGGAAUGCCUACAGUUGAGGCUCUUCUCUCCCUUCUGACCAUUCGCAGCUCCCCGCAGCCCUCCGCAUCUGGAGCCUCCAACAUGUCCCCUGCUUAUCUUCAAGGCUUUGAGGAGUGAUCUGGGGCUCCUUCCAGGGACCCGAGCCCCUCCAGCACCCACAAAAGCAAUAAGAAUGCAGACCUGGGAGCUCUCUGUGCCCCUUCCCUUCUGACUCCGGAGAGUGGAGGCCGAGCCAGGAGGCUCAGUGAGGAGGAAAACGGUGCCAUCUGCAGAACCGGGGAGUGCUGAGGGGCCCUGGGAGGUGGCAGUGGCCCAGCACACAGACACAGGACCCCGCUGGGUGAGCAGGGCUGGGGCAGCACAGGAGAGGGGUCCAGGGGUAAGUGAGUCCUCAGGCGUUUCCUGGAGGAUCUGGACAGGGGCCUCAGGGACUUGUAGGAGCCCUUAGGUGCGGCAGGACUGAGAGCUCCAGGUUUGAGAGCAAUGGGGCUGGGGCGGGGAAGAGCUGGGCACAUCCCCCGUGGCUGCGCAACACAUUCCCAGUGAGAGGCUUCCCAUAGCUCCCAUCUGCUCUCUCAGAGGUCCAGACCUGGGCUGCCAUCAGGAUGCAACCCUCCAGAGGGCCCAGAGAGGACCCACUCCGGGCUCCUGCCAGCAUCCGGUGGCAGCUGGCACCCUCGGCUGUGGCUCCUCAGCCCCUCCGCACCCCUCUGCUUCAUCCUCUGCUGUCUGUUAGGCACACCCCGCCUCCCCUUGGUAAGGACACGCAUGAUGAUGUCUGUGUCCACCUAGGUAACCUUGGACACCUCCCUUCUAGAGAUCUUGCCGAGACCUAAUCCCAUCUGCAAAGACGCUUUGUAUCCAAGGCAGGUAACCGUAGUCAGGCCAGAUGUCUGGGGGCCCGUUAUGCAGCCUACACUGUACCUCCCAGAGGGGCCCGAGAUCCUGCUGUUGGGAACAGAGGGGCCGGUCUGUCCUGCCCUGCAGUCUGGGAUUCCAGAACCCUCAGUGGCUCACUUCUGGGGCCAAGCAGAGUGAAGAGAGUGCUGCCCCUGCCACCUGCCUCCCUAUGAGCUCGGGUGUUGCCAGCCGAUCGAUCACCUGAAAGGCCAAGGACAGGAAAAGACGUGUUUCUCCCAGGACACUGUUUAACCAUGGCUAGGCGUCUCCCCACCCUGCCUUCCUGACCUGAGACUCCGGAUGAUUCUGGGGCCGGACUUCAGGGGGAGGAGCUGAACCCCUACUGGUCUGUAAUGGCCAGGGGACUCUGGAGCAGCCCCAGACACCUCAGCUGAGCUCCCCGGGCUCCCCAGCACACCCCCUUUCUCAGUCUGCCCUCUCUGAGACACAGCCAGCUCAGCGAGCAGUUGUUAGAAGCUGGGGGUCUUCAGUGGCCAUUUGGACGGCUUCCCCGUCUGAGCUGGCGCGCAUCUGCGUGUGUGGCAGGAGCAGACGCCUUUGAAGGAGGUGCUGCUAGAGUCCUUUCCCCGUCACUCACUUUCAUCUUAGGUCCUGCUGCACCUUCCUCCCCCUUCCUGGGUGUCUCCCCCUUCCAAGUUGGAUGGAGGCCGCUGGGGUGAUCCCACAUUCGGCUUCCUGGGCCCCUCUUGGGAUGGAGAGAAGGGUCUUCAGGCUGGGAAAUUUGAAUAAAGAGCUGUUCUUCUAAUUGAAUUGCAUCUCUGUCAGUAAUUCAGAAACCAUCAUUUGCACACACAUUUCUG
rnacentral:lncRNA from 1 species